UGCAGCUGCUGCCACUGCUCGUUGUAUGUCUUUCUCAGGUGCUGCCGCUCCCGGAUCAGCACACUCAGCUUGCUCAAGGGUCCUGAAUUCAGAUCUUCUGCGUGCUGCCGCAGCACCCGGCUCAAGUUCUCGGUCUGGCUUGUUAUCUCUGCCCAGGACUACAGCACAUUGUGGGAUAGGGAAGCAGGAAGAACAUGACAAUGGCCCGCAAGCCUGGGUUUGCAUGAGGAGGUUGCCCUAGGCCGCGGGGCGGGUCCACUAUAGGGAAGAGAGAGCACAGCCCACCCCCCCAUCCUGCUUCCCACUCUGCGUGCCCUGGGCCACAGCCUACAGCGACAGCUCAGCCACGGAAACGGAAGGGAGGAGGAGGCCGGCAAAGAAUGGCCAUGAGAAGAGUGGCCUGUGCACCAGGCACUCCCCAGGGUCCUGCGAACGCGGGGGAAGGAACCCAAAAUGCAGUGGGAAUGGACUCAAGGUGAGGCGAGGUGUUGGGCCCCGGGGCACCCAGGGUGUGCGGAGUCUGGGGACUAAUGUGAAUUCUAACAGCAGGCUAGGGUGCCAGGGAGACCCAGGAGAGGAAGGAAGCCCAAUCCUGUCCCUCCUCUGGAUUCCCUAAGGAGACCUCAGGCGCCAGCCUCUAUUUGCAUAUAAAAAUCUCCGAGUAAAAGUCCUAAGCAGAGACUGCUUCUCAGGCCCGGGUUCUGUAGCACAGUUUUCUCUCUCUCCCCCAGGCCAGGCUUUCCGUCUCAGUGGCAGCCUGGGUCGCACAGGUUAUAGGACUGAGGAGAAAUUUCCCCAAGAGGGACUCAGGUUCCCUCAGCCAUUCAGUCCUGGUUUGCGGUUUCUUUUUUUCUUUUCUUAUUUUGAGAAAGGGUCUCUCUAUGUAGUCCUGUCUGCCCUAGAACUUGCUAUGUAGAUCAAGCUGGCCUCAGAGGAAGAGAUACCCCCCCCUCUGCCUCCCAAAUGCUGAGAUUAAAGGUGACAUGCCUAGCUGUGAUAACCACCAGAACUGAAAGCAGCUUGGGGAAAAAGGGUUGUCUGACUUAAAGAGCCCACCAUUAAGGGAAGUGAGGGCUAGAGCUGAAACAGGAACCAUGGAAAACA